GUUUAUGGACAUACCAUCUUCAUUGCGCCCAAUCUCAUCUGAUCUUAGAAGCUAAGCAGGGUUGGGCCUGGUUAGUACUUGGAUGGGAUCGAUCGUUCUUGAUUUAGAGAUACAUCUUUUUCUUAAAUG
ensembl:rRNA 5S_rRNA 5S ribosomal RNA